rnacentral:lncRNA from 1 species
UUUUCAAUAACAUCUGUAAUUUUCUGUCGUUCUGGGUAGUGUGGUGGAAAAAUUCAAAUAAGAAAAAUUCAAGUUAAUGUCUUUUGGAGUUUUUUACAGACUUUUGGUAUAUGUAAAUCUGGAUUCAGUAAAUAUUUAUUAGGCUCUUUUGUGUGCAGAGCAUUGUGUAAUGUUAAUACUAGCUCACUGUUACUCCUAGUAAUAACAAUAAUAGUAAUGGCUGCUAUUAUUUAAAUGAGUAGUCAGUAUACUAAUUCUAUUAUUUUAUUUAAUCCUUACAGCAAUUCCAAAAGGUGGAUAUUAUCAUAAAAUCCAUUUUUUAAGAAGAGAAGCAGCUUUAGACAAAGGAAGUAACUUAAGUUCAUACAGUACAUGGUAGAAACAGACUUUGAGCCCGGUUUUAAUUGACUCCAGUUUUGUUUUUAACUCCUGUGGCAGAUGCUGUAGGUGCUCCCCCUACAUCUCCUCACCCUGAUGGAUUUCUAACUCCCAGCCCCUGAUUUCUUUUCUCAAAGGCCUGAUUUCACUUUGCCCAUAAUGUGGCUGACUAGGAACACUGGAGAAUUCGUGCCCACUCCCCCUGCAGUCUCCAACAAAGAUGACAAAAGUUUGUGUAGAAAUACCCCAGCUCACUAACCCCUCAGGUGGGCUAACUCCUGGGAGCAUGUUCUUCAUUGUUCUAGAAUUCUCUAGCAGUCCACAGUGAUAGCAAACCCUUAUUGCCUGCUCUGUUUUCCAGGUUCCCUCCUGUAGUCCUCUACUUGUGUUUUCUACUUGCACCUGUAUCCUUGUUGACAAGUCUGUUUCUGGGUGAACCCAAACUAAAAUGACUUCUGCUCUGAACUCUGUUGGAGGACCAGGAUUUACUCCUAGAAAGACAACUGUGAACCCACUGAGAAAAGAUAGAAGUUCCCGUCUCCUUGAUCAAGCGCUUUCUCCAGACUUAUCCCAUCCCAGCAAGCCUGUGUGGACACUUGGUUUGUAGAUUCUGCCAAGGAAGGACCUUUAGGGCAGGGCCUCCGAUCAUCUAGAAGUUGGAGUCCAUCUGUCAAAGACCAGGGUCUUCUGCUGUCACUUACAUCGACUUCCCUAUUGUCUUCCUGAGCACUCUGUUUUGAGAUCUUAGGGCUCCAAGUUCUGUCUAAUACAGUUGGGCAGUGGGCCAGGAAGAGACUCUGACCCCUCAUUGUCUAUGGGAGGCUCUGAAUUCUGCCAGAGCUCAAUAAAGGUAAAACAUCUACAAUGUGCUCGCUGUGA